rnacentral:rRNA from 1 species
UACGGGGGGGGCAAGCGUUGUUCGGAAUUACUGGGCGUAAAGGGCUUGUAGGCGGCCAACUAAGUCCGACGUGAAAUCCCCAGGCUCAACCUGGGAACUGCGUCGGAUACUGGAUGGCUUGAAUUCGGGAGAGGGAUGCAGAAUUCCAGGUGUAGCGGUGAAAUGCGUAGAUAUCUGGAGGAAUACCGGUGGCGAAGGCGGCAUCCUGGACCGAGAUUGACGCUGAAAAGCGAAAGCCAGGGGAGCAAACGGG